CUUACUGUUUCUAUGGACGCCCAAAGAUUGCAUUUACUAGUAAAGGUAAACUAGAUAUAUAUUGUGCUGUACCAAAUGGGAAGAUGAGACCCGGUGACAGAUUUCGUGCUGGUUGCGAAGAGUGUUCGUGUACACGUACUAGUUGGCGCUGUUGUGGGAUUGGUUUUAAGUCCGGUUUAACUGUAAUGCCGGGCUGCACGAAGAAGAAGUUGGAUUAUUGUUGCUACCAGUUUGUGAACAACACAGAUCCUUAUAUUGCUUGUUCGCCUGUGCAAUGUCCACCAUCAUUCACAAGACUGAGUUAUACACCGGUUAAAAAUAUUUAUACUAACUUUGUGCACAACUGAUUCUUGUACCCAAGACUGAAUUUGCUGUACUCGAUGAAUAUCUGUAUAAAAGAAAGUAGGGGUGGAUGGAUGACGGUGCAUUACUUAUGAUUUCAAUUUUGGUAAUGAAUAUUAUAGUUCAAAUAAAAUAUUUUUGCAAUCUUU